AUGUUCCCCUUACUACGGUAGGUGAUCCAUCACACACAUCUCAUUCAAACCCUAAUUUCUCCACCUCUACCACCAAUCUUCCCAAAUCACCUAAACACCUUUCCUCUCAAUCCUCCGGCCAUCAACUCUGCAAUUUCAAUAUUUACCUUCUUUAUCCCCCAUCAACAUACUCACUUCAUAUUCUAGGGUUUCCGCGAGAGAAUGAAGCGACAUAAGAGAAUGUGCAGAUUAUGUGUGUGUACGAGGAUGAUACAAGAACAGAGGGUUUUAUGAGUAUGAGUGAGGAAGGGGGUGUCGUUGAGGCUGUGGUGUGACCGAGAUUCGUCGUCGGCCGGAGUGCAUUCUCCGGUGAUCGGGGUUAGACAAAAAAGGGGAUUGUGCGACUGAUGUAUUCUAUUUAGGGUUUUUAAGGAUAUGAGUUGAAGGUUGAUUUGGAUCUGUACUCGAGGAGAUUACAGAGAAUGAAGAAUGAAGAACGAAGUUGUACAAUGAAAAGGAAAGAGGAAAAAACGCAUGAAGAUGAGUGAUUCAGAUGAUAAGGGGAUACAUUUAUUUCUGCUUUUCCUGUUGCUUUUGUUGGAGGAAAGCUUGAGAUUUGCAGCUGCAACAGUUCUCUUUGUGUCCAAGUGAAGGGAGCCAUUCUAAGCAUGCCUUGUAGAGAAGCAGGCUUAGAUCUUCUUCAGUCUAAUUUGGGAUAACAAAGUUAAUUCAACUGAAAAUCUUAUUGCAAGUAAAUAAGCUAGUUAAAUUGGAAGUUGGAGCCUUGGGAAGUUAAUGCAUUUUCUGCUCUAAAGAAUAGUGUUGUAACAUUGUUAAUGCAGCCUUGAUUUAUAAACUCUAGUAGCACUAUUCAUAUUGUUAGAAUGCACCUUGUCGGAUUCGAAUUGACUGUGGUCGACGAUCUUAACACUGUCAGCAGGUAUCUGUACAUACAAUUCAUAAUUCAUUGUAACUAAAUGCCAAUACUAAGGAAACUCUGAUAUAAAGUUCAACCUUCACUUGCAAGUAUUUUUUCCAUCAGUUUUUUGUUCAAUCAUAACUGGUAACUACAGAAAGAAGAUACUAAUUAGAGAUGUAGGCUGUAAAACAACACAUAAUUGAUGUGAUAAUUUG
rnacentral:lncRNA from 1 species